rnacentral:lncRNA from 1 species
GGUGAUAGUUAGGUCUAUUACUCAUACUGUCCUGAGACCUAGACACAGUAGGUUUAUUACCCUGCUCCUGCCUAACUCUAGAUGCGAGAGUACUAGCUGAUGACGGUGCUGGCAUAAAAGAAUGACUCUGAAACUGAGGGCGGAUCCUUUUAGUAAAUCUACUCUGACUAUACCCCUGCUGCUCUGAUCUAACUCUCUUAUUCCCUCUCUUUCACCUUGUCCACUUCAAUCUGCUGGGUAUGUAUCAUCAAUCUAAAAAGAUC